CGAUGCAACGCGAAAAACCUUACCCACCUUUGACAUGGCAGGAACUUUCCAGAGAUGGAUUGGUGCUCGAAAGAGAACCUGCACACAGGUGCUGCAUGGCUGUCGUCAGCUCGUGUCGUGAGAUGUUGGGUUAAGUCCCGCAACGAGCGCAACCCUUGUCAUUAGUUGCUACAUUCAGUUGGGCACUCUAAUGAGACUGCCGGUGACAAACCGGAGGAAGGUGGGGAUGACGUCAAGUCCUCAUGGCCCUUAUAGGUGGGGCUACACACGUCAUACAAUGGCUGGUACAAAGGGUUGCCAACCCGCGAGGGGGAGCUAAUCCCAUAAAGCCAGUCGUAGUCCGGAUCGCAGUCUGCAACUCGACUGCGUGAAGUCGGAAUCGCUAGUAAUCGUGGAUCAGAAUGUCACGGUGAAUACGUUCCCGGGUCUUGUACACACCGCCCGUCACACCAUGGGAGCGGGUCUCGCCAGAAGUAGGUAGCCUAACCGUAAGGAGGGCGCUUACCACGGCGGGGUUCGUGACUGGGGUGAAGUCGUAACAAGGUAGCCGUAUCGGAAGG
rnacentral:rRNA from 1 species